rnacentral:piRNA from 1 species
GUAAAACUAUGGUCCAUAUGUCAU